rnacentral:rRNA from 1 species
GAGCAUGGCGGGCCGGGAGGGGUGGGAAUAGGGGGGGGGCGGGGGUUAAGCGGGAGUACGGUGCGUAAAGGGGGCGUAGGCGUGUUGGUCAGGCAGCCGUGAAAGCCCCGGGCUUAACCUGGGAAUGGCGGUUGAGACGGCUGGAGUUGAGUGGGCUAGAGGAUCGUGGAAUUCCGGGUGUAGCGGUGAAAUGUGUAGAGAUCCGGAGGAACACCGAUGGCGAAGGCAGCGGUCUGGGGCCACACUGACGCUGAGGCACGACAGCGUGGGGAGCAAACAGGAUUAGAUACCCUAGUAGUC